CUGGGAAGCCAUAUUGUUUAUUGUUGUUGUCUCCAAAGGUUAAUAAAUUAUGGGAAUUGUGGUGAUCCCAAUUGAUUCCUGUAAAUAUAGGACUCAGUACUUUGCCGAAGGCUCAAUUGUUGAACAGACACGUAUGCCAGAAGCACUUCGAUAGACAUCAGUUCGACAGUAUGGGGUGGUAUGGGUACCCGACGUACGCAUGGUUAUCUCUACUUGUUUACUGAAAAGGAAAAUACUUCACGGAAUUCCUGAGCUCAUUAGCUGAACAUGAUUUCAGUGAUCACAAUUUUAUCAUGCUUUACAACCAACUUCAGUUCAACAGAGUUCAACAUUCAGAAGAUUCAACAGUAUCCACUCAAAGUACAAUAAUAAUAAUAAUUAGUGCCAAUUUGACAACCAAGUGUAGGUAUUUUAUUAAAAGAAUAAAGGAAAUGUUUAUCAAAGAAAACAAGAAGCAAAGGCUAUUUUCAGA